CUACUUAUUUUGAUUAUUUAUCUUACAUAUAAAAGUUCCCUAGGGGUGCUCUCCAAGCAUGGCAUGAAGCCAGAGGGAAGUGGCAGCAAUCAUAUCGAGUAGCAAUAACAGACCAGCCUCUUGGGUGCAGAGCAAGGUGGACAAGAAGCAAGUACUGGAAACUAUAGAAGCACAUGGUGAAGAAGAGAGUUGGCCCAGUCUUAAGAGAUCUGAGGAAGACUUCCUGGAAGAAGUGACUUCCGAAGUAGGAUGUAAAGCAUAAGUAGGAGUUUGAAGACAAACAGUGUGGAAGAAGAAAACUAUUGCAGGUAGGGCGAGAAUAAUUUACAAAAAUCCAAAGAGAACAUGGGAUACUAUCGGAAUCUUAAAUAGUUUAGUUAGGCCUCAGGCUAGUAUGGGAGAGGUAGAGCAGUAAAAGAUGAGGCCACACACUAUGCUAAAGGAAGAUCAUAAAUGUUUAUCUGUCAUAUUAAAGAAUUUGGAUUUUAGCCUCAGGGCGCUGGCAUGUGGAGGAGGGAUGUGGAACACAGGGUUAUAACCAAGGAAAUGACACCACUGAAUUUAAUUUUAGAUCAACUUUUUAUUGUGGAAAAUUAUUUUUUAUCAACUCCCGUCCCUUGUAAGCCCACCCUAAAUAACACAUUAUGUAAGU